rnacentral:antisense_RNA from 1 species
CCUCCAGGAAUUGCACUAUCAGAAGCUGCAGCAGGUGUGAGUAUAUCGGAAAGACCA